rnacentral:misc_RNA from 1 species
UCCCUAACAAAUAGCUCUACCCACUCUGCACCAUCCAUUGGAAGUUGUGGUGUAGCUGAUAGAUCAUCAGUUGAUGGAGCUUCCAUAAUAGUUAUUGUUAUGCCUUGUUGGACAUUAGACUCAAGGAGUACAUCUGAUCUAACUACAUUGGAUCCCACGUUGUUGUCAGCCGAAGCUAACCGAAGCUCAUUCAAACUUCUGAUAGCUGAAUCUAAAUCAUCACCGCAUUCUUCAAGUGCUCUCUCAAGAAUCUGCUUGUCCAUAUCAGGGAAAAGAGCAACGAGUUUCUCGAUGAAAAGCAAAGACGAUUGAUUGAAGGAGGGGGAGGAGACAGAAACAGCGUUGUA